rnacentral:rRNA from 1 species
CAUGCAAGUCGAGGGGCAGCAUGGUCUUAGCUUGCUAAGGCCGAUGGCGACCGGCGCACGGGUGAGUAACACGUAUCCAACCUGCCGUCUACUCUUGGACAGCCUUCUGAAAGGAAGAUUAAUACAAGAUGGCAUCAUGAGUCCGCAUGUUCACAUGAUUAAAGGUAUUCCGGUAGACGAUGGGGAUGCGUUCCAUUAGAUAGUAGGCGGGGUAACGGCCCACCUAGUCUUCGAUGGAUAGGGGUUCUGAGAGGAAGGUCCCCCACAUUGGAACUGAGACACGGUCCAAACUCCUACGGGAGGCAGCAGUGAGGAAUAUUGGUCAAUGGGCGAGAGUCUGAACCAGCCAAGUAGCGUGAAGGAUGACUGCCCUAUGGGUUGUAAACUUCUUUUAUAAAGGAAUAAAGUCGGGUAUGGAUACCCGUUUGCAUGUACUUUAUGAAUAAGGAUCGGCUAACUCCGUGCCAGCAGCCGCGGUAAUACGGAGGAUCCGAGCGUUAUCCGGAUUUAUUGGGUUUAAAGGGAGCGUAGAUGGAUGUUUAAGUCAGUUGUGAAAGUUUGCGGCUCAACCGUAAAAUUGCAGUUGAUACUGGAUAUCUUGAGUGCAGUUGAGGCAGGCGGAAUUCGUGGUGUAGCGGUGAAAUGCUUAGAUAUCACGAAGAACUCCGAUUGCGAAGGCAGCCUGCUAAGCUGCAACUGACAUUGAGGCUCGAAAGUGUGGGUAUCAAACAGGAUUAGAUACCCUGGUAGUCCACACGGUAAACGAUGAAUACUCGCUGUUUGCGAUAUACUGCAAGCGGCCAAGCGAAAGCGUUAAGUAUUCCACCUGGGGAGUACGCCGGCAACGGUGAAACUCAAAGGAAUUGACGGGGGCCCGCACAAGCGGAGGAACAUGUGGUUUAAUUCGAUGAUACGCGAGGAACCUUACCCGGG